ensembl:lncRNA
GUUAGUAUAUGUGCUGCUGAAGCGAGCACUAAAAUAGAAUUUUAAACAGAAUUGCAUGCCUAUGAAAAUGGACAUCCUAUGAAAAUGGACAAGCCAUAUCAUGAAGCUUCAUUUUAUUCUUUCAAAGGACUUUUAUUUCCCUGGGUCCCAUUAAACAGAAACAUUUACAAAGAGGUUCCUUGAUAUAUCACAUUAAGGACAAGUAUCAGAAUAAAGAGAGUUAAAGCCAAACAAGGGGAAAAAACUCACUCCUCUAAAAUAAGAGUAGUACUAGCUUUUAAGAUCCAAUUUCAGACUUCUGCAAUAGUACGAGUUUUAUUGCUGAAAAGGAAAGAAAGAAAGAAGGCAGGAAAGAAGGAGGAAGAGAAAGGGAGGAACAGAUAAGAAAAUAGAUGAUAGAUUGACAGAAAUAAAUGUAAGAUACAUUUUAAGCGUUAAAUUCAAAGUUGAAGGUGAAAGAAGUCGUGAGAUGGCCGCCACCACUCCUUUUCAUUCUGUUUUCUAAAUCUGAACUGCCAUCUGAGAAUUGAACUUUUACCCUUCCUUCUGCCUAAGCGUCUUUCUCUUGUCUGGAUUUGUGCAAAGGAUCUGCAGUACUGAUGGUGGACUUCCCUGGAGCCUUGACACAAACCAUGACAUGGAAGGCAAAGUAGGCAGAAGAGAGAAGUUGUCAACCUAUGAUCUUAGGUCCCCAACCAGGAAUUGAACCCGAACCCCCUCCACUGGAAGUGCAUAACCUUCAUCACUGGACCACUAAGGAAGAGCGACUUUCUAAGUGCCACCUAUGGAGAAUUUGGAGGAAUGGAGUCUUUCCUAAAAAAAUUUUCAAAAAUGCCUCAAGAAGACACGUUCAGGAGCCAGCCCUUUGCCAUCUGCAGCAAUAGAACAGCAGCAGCCAAGGGAAGCACUAACAGUUCACUAAUGAGUGAAUAUUUCCAAAUUGUUUUGCAUGUGAAAUGGCAACCCACUCCAGUACUCUUGGCUGGAAAAUCCCAUGGACAGAGGAGCCUGGUAGGUUACGGUCCAUGGGGUCGCAAAGAGUCGGACACGACUGAGCGACUUCACUUUCCUUUUCUUUCGUUUCAUUGUGGCUGCUGCACAUUUUCAUUACUGAAGAAGAGAGGAAACCAAGCUAAGGGAUUGGACAGAGAGGUAGAGAUACACACAUCCUGCAGGCAUCCCCCAAAAGCAACUUCAGCUAUUGGAUCCAAAGAUGUUGGAGCAUUUUGCUCAGGAUGAAUUAUCUUGAAAAUACCACUUGGAGUAGCCUCCAGCAAGCAGAUGCCUGGAACUCCUGGGUGCUGGAUGGUAGUGUGGAUUCCCAUCAUGGGGCUCCACCUCACAAUCCAAUGUCCUGAAAACCCAUACCUUCUCUUCAUGAUUUUUCUCAAGGACCUCAGAUCCAGUAUUGUAAGAUGCUCACAUUUCUGGCUUUACCAUAGACAGUGGUUUCCAAACAUUUCUCAAUCGAACACCCGAUUGCAUAAGAUCUGAAUAUGGAAUUGUCUGUGCUGGAAAGACAGCUCUUUGUUCACCACAUUCUCAAGGAAUUCCUGACUGUUUGUACCCACCUUGGAUUCUACAUAGUACUCUCUGGCCUCAUGCUCCAACAUCUAUAAUAUUAGCCACUGUGCACUUCUUGAUUUUCUUUAUGUGUGCUAGCAAAAACUAAACGAUCCUUUGGGCCCUCAAUAGCAGUGAGGCUGCCUUCCUUGCAUAUGAUAUCCAUUGGCUAGUACCAUCUUUGAAUUGUUUAUUCUUAUAUUUUCCCAUGACUAGUUAUACUGGGGAUAACCUUAAACCAAAUCUGGUACAAUUCAAUUUCAAUGCAAUAAAUAUUUGGAAUCCAAAGCCUAUUUAGUCUUUAUCUAUAAGUUCAGACAAUUCACUCUCACCAAUAGGAGGGGACUGCCCCAGUUACGAAUUAGUACUCCUUUUAUGUCUCCUUCAUAGACAUAAAAGCACAAUCAAAUCCAUCACAAAUGCCCCUCUUCCAUCUUUCAUUUUCAAUUUCAUGCAAACCAUGAGGCUUUAUAUGUAGGAGGCACUUGAUAUAUCUUUAUGUAAGAAGCAUUUGAUAUAAAAAAUACCAAACUCCUUUCCCACACCCCAACUUGGGAAAAUUC